rnacentral:rRNA from 1 species
AUACGUAGGGGGCUAGCGUUAUCCGGAUUUACUGGGCGUAAAGGGUGCGUAGGCGGUCUUUUAAGUCAGGAGUGAAAGGCUACGGCUCAACCGUAGUAAGCUCUUGAAACUGGAGGACUUGAGUGCAGGAGAGGAGAGUGGAAUUCCUAGUGUAGCGGUGAAAUGCGUAGAUAUUAGGAGGAACACCAGUAGCGAAGGCGGCUCUCUGGACUGUAACUGACGCUGAGGCACGAAAGCGGGGGGAGCAAACAGGAUUAGAUACCCUGGUAGUCCACGCCGUAAACGAUGAGUACUAGGUGUCGGGGGUUACCCCCCUCGGUGCCGCAGCUAACGCAUUAAGUACUCCGCCUGGGGAGUACGCUCGCAAGAGUGAA